CAGCAGCCGCGGUAAUACGGAGGAGGCAAGCGUUGUCCGGAAUCAUUGGGCGUAAAGAGCGCGUAGGCUGUUUUUUAAGUCAUAUGUGAAAACCUCAGGCUUAACUCGAGGACUGCAUGUGAAACUGGAAAACUUGAGUGCAGUAGGGGAAAGUGGAAUUCCUGGUGUAGCGGUGAAAUGCGCAGAUAUCAGGAAGAACACCGGUAGCGAAGGCGGCUUUCUGGGCUGCUACUGACGCUGAGGCGCGAAAGCUAGGGGAGCAAACAGGAUUAGAUACCCUGGUAGUCCUAGCUGUAAACGAUGGACACUAGGUGUGGGGAGUUAUCGACGCUUUCCGUGCCGGAGCUAACGCAUUAAGUGUCCCGCCUGGGGAGUACGGUCGCAAGACUAAAACUCAAAGGAAUUGACGGGGGCCCGCACAAGCGGCGGAGCAUGUGGCUUAAUUCGACGCAACGCGAAGAACCUUACCAAGGCUUGACAUCAUAUUGACGAUUAUGGAAAUAUUAUUUCUCUUCGGAGCAAUAUGACAGGUGGUGCAUGGCUGUCGUCAGCUCGUGUCGUGAGAUGUUGGGUUAAGUCCCGCAACGAGCGCAACCCUUAUCCCAUGUUGCUAACAGUUCGGCUGAGCACUCUUGGGAGACUGCCAGCGUAAAGCUGGAGGAAGGUGGGGAUGACGUCAAGUCAUCAUGCCCUUUAUGCCUUGGGCCGCACACGUGCUACAAUGGACCGUACAAAGAGCAGCGAUACUGUGAAGUGGAGCGAAUCUCUUAAAGCGGUUCAAAGUCCGGAUUGAAGGCUGAAAUUCGCCUUCAUGAAGUAGGAGUCGCUAGUAAUCGUGGAUCAGAACGCCACGGUGAAUACGUUCCCGGGCCUUGUACACACCGCCCGUCACACCACGAAAGUUGGAUACACCCAAAGAUAGUAUACUAACCGGCAACGGAGGAAACUAUCGAGGGUGGAGUCAGCGAUUGGGGUGAAGUCGUAACAAGGUGGCCGUA
rnacentral:rRNA from 1 species